rnacentral:rRNA from 1 species
UACGAAGGGGGCUAGCGUUGUUCGGAAUCACUGGGCGUAAAGGGCGCGUAGGCGGCUUUAUAAGUCGGGGGUGAAAGCCCGUGGCUCAACCACAGAAUUGCCUUCGAUACUGUAGAGCUUGAGACCGGAAGAGGUAAGUGGAACUGCGAGUGUAGAGGUGAAAUUCGUAGAUAUUCGCAAGAACACCAGUGGCGAAGGCGGCUUACUGGUCCGGUUCUGACGCUGAGGCGCGAAAGCGUGGGGAGCAAACAGG